CGUGCGCACGCGCCGAAUCCCGUAAGGGAACCGGGGAACCACCAACUUGGGGUGAAUCGGGCGCCUUUCGCAUGAAGGCGGUCGUAGGAGACCUUCCUGCUCCGAACCCGUCAGCUAACCCGGUAGGCGAGAAGGAAGGAAAGG
rnacentral:sRNA from 2 species